GACGAACGCUGGCGGCGCGCUUAACACAUGCAAGUCGAACGGAAAGGCCUGCUUUCCCUUGUGGAUUGCGGGUACUCGAGUGGCGAACGGGUGAGUAACACGUGAGUGAUCUGCCCCCAACUUGGGUAUAAGCCUGGGAAACUGGGUCUAAUUCCCGAUAGGACUGCAGGGUGGUGCCUGUGGUGGAAAACGAUUUUCUAGUGGUUGGGGAUGAGCUCGCGGCCUAUCAGCUUGUUGGUGGGGUAAUGGCCUACCAAGGCGGCGACGGGUAGCCGGCCUGAGAGGGUGGACGGUCGAAUUGGGACUGGGAUACGGCCCAGACUACUACGGGAGGCAGCAGUGGGGAAUAUUGCACAAUGGGCGGAAGCCUGAUGCAGCGACGCCGUGUGGGGGAUGAUGGCCUUCGGGUUGUAAACUCCUUUCGACCGCGAGGAAGCCACCUGGUUGGAAGGGUGGUGACGGUAGUGGUAGAAGAAGCACCGGCUAACUACGUG
rnacentral:rRNA from 1 species